rnacentral:rRNA from 1 species
CCUACGGGAGGCAGCAGUGAGGAAUAUUGGUCAAUGGGCGAGAGCCUGAACCCGCCAAGUCGCGUGAGGGAGUACUGCCCUAUGGGUUGUAAACCUCUUUUGUCGGGGCGCAACAGCCGGACGUGUCCGGCUGUGAGAGUACCCGAAGAAAAAGCAUCGGCUAACUCCGUGCCAGCAGCCGCGGUAAUACGGAGGAUGCGAGCGUUAUCCGGAUUUAUUGGGGUUAAAGGGUGCGCAGGCGGAUUUUUAAGUCAGCGGUCAAAUCGUGGGGCUCAACCCCAUCCAGCCGUUGAAACUGGGGAUCUAGAGUGUGCGAGAGGUAUGCGGAAUGCGUGGUGUAGCGGUGAAAUGCAUAGAUAUCACGCAGAACCCCGAUUGCGAAGGCAGCAUACCGGUGCACAACUGACGCUCAGGCACGAAAGCGUGGGUAUCGAACAGGAUUAGAUACCCGUGUAGUC